UGGGAAUUUGGACGAAUGGGCGAAAGCCUGAUCCAGCAAUGCCGCGUGUGUGAAGAAGGCCUUCGGGUUGUAAAGCACUUUUGUCCGGAAAGAAAUCCUUGGCUCUAAUACAGUCGGGGGAUGACGGUACCGGAAGAAUAAGCACCGGCUAACUACGUGCCAGCAGCCGCGGUAAUACGUAGGGUGCAAGCGUUAAUCGGAAUUACUGGGCGUAAAGCGUGCGCAGGCGGUUUGCUAAGACCGAUGUGAAAUCCCCGGGCUCAACCUGGGAACUGCAUUGGUGACUGGCAGGCUAGAGUAUGGCAGAGGGGGGUAGAAUUCCACGUGUAGCAGUGAAAUGCGUAGAGAUGUGGAGGAAUACCGAUGGCGAAGGCAGCCCCCUGGGCCAAUACUGACGCUCAUGCACGAAAGCGUGGGGAGCAAACAGGAUUAGAUACCCUGGUAGUCCACGCCCUAAACGAUGUCAACUAGUUGUUGGGGAUUCAUUUCCUUAGUAACGUAGCUAACGCGUGAAGUUGACCGCCUAGGAGUACGGUCGCAAGAUUAAAACUCAAAGGAAUUGACGGGGUCAUAGCUG
rnacentral:rRNA from 1 species